rnacentral:rRNA from 1 species
AUUCCAGCUCCAAUAGCGUAUAUUAAAGUUGUUGCAGUUAAAAAGCUCGUAGUUGGAUUUCUGGCGGGAGCGGCCUGUCCUGCCCUUUGCGGGGUUGAGCACAAGCGCUGCAUCCGGCCAUCCUUGUGGAGAGCGUUUCUGGUAUUCAGUUGUCGGACUCGGGAUCCGCAUCGUUUACUGUGAAAAAAUUAGAGUGUUUAAAGCAGGCAUUUGCUUGAAUACAUUAGCAUGGAAUAAUAAGAUAGGACUUAGUCGUUAUUUUGUUGGUCUUGCACGUCUAGGUAAUGAUUAAUAGGGAUAGUUGGGGGUAUUCAUAUUUAAUUGUCAGAGGUGAAAUUCUUGGAUUUAUGAAAGAUGAACUUAUGCGAAAGCAUUUACCAUGGAUGUUUUCAUUG